AACGAACGCUGGCGGCAGGCUUAACACAUGCAAGUCGAACGGGCAUAGCAAUAUGUCAGUGGCAGACGGGUGAGUAACACGUGGGAACCUUCCUAGAGGUACGGAACAACGCAGGGAAACUUGUGCUAAUACCGUAUACGCUCGAGAGAGGAAAGAUUUAUCGCCUUCAGACGGGCCCGCGUAGGAUUAGGUAGUUGGUGAGGUAACGGCUCACCAAGCCUACGAUCCUUAGCUGAUCUGAGAGGAUGAUCAGCCACACUGGGACUGAGACACGGCCCAGACUCCUACGGGAGGCAGCAGUGGGGAAUCUUGGACAAUGGGCGCAAGCCUGAUCCAGCCAUGCCGCGUGAGUGAAGAAGGCCUUCGGGUUGUAAAGCUCUUUUACCAGGGACGAUAAUGACGGUACCUGGAGAAUAAGCCCCGGCUAACUUCGUGCCAGCAGCCGCGGUAA
rnacentral:rRNA from 1 species